rnacentral:lncRNA from 1 species
GACAAGGAAGAGCAUAAGCCUGCCAGGUGAGCUCCAGCUGGGCUUCCAGUUGCCCAGGAAGGACAUAGGAACAUUCUGGAAACUCCAAGGAGGACAAGGUAUGCAGAAAGAAAAACUGACUGCUUGUAGAUGACUUUUAGAGGGCAGUGAGGAUCAGGCUGCACUGAGCUUUGAGGAGUUAAGAUCCAAUGGUCGACCAGGGGUUGAAGGUGGAGCGUUCCCUGGGGAGGCCCAAGUUGUGGAGUACGAAGAGAGCAGCCGAGGCUGGUGGCACAGCACUGUAGGAGAGGAGGCCCUGAAUUCACUCUGGUGAGUUACUGUACAUCUAGCACUGGGAGGGACUUUGAAAAACCUUGACAGGAUAUGCUUAAACUGUGACUAGCUUUUUGCAGGUAAAGUAAGUGCAUACAGUCAUCACAGAGCACUCCAGGGUACUACCUGAAAGCAGCAAGGGGCAUCGCAACUGUGCACCAAGGGAGGCCAGAACAUCUUCUCACCAAGGCAGGUUACCAAUGGGAGGAGCAGUGUUUGUAGGGUUAGAGGGAGCUUUGAGAAGGGGAGAUGGUUGGUAGGAGAUAGUUUGGAGGGUGGAGUGCCAGACUGUGGCAUCAAAUGUAGGGUUAGUGCCCAGCAACAUACAAUGUAUUCACCA